rnacentral:rRNA from 1 species
UACGAGUGCCCCAAGCGUUAUCCGGAAUUAUUGGGCGUAAAGGGUGUGUAGGUGGUUUUGCAAGUCCUGUGUGAAAUUCCUCGGCUCAACUGAGGAACUGCACAGGAAACUGCUUGGCUUGAGUUCGGGAGAGGGAAGCGGAAUUCCGGGUGUAGCGGUGAAAUGCGUAGAUAUCCGGAGGAACACCGGUGGCGAAGGCGGCUUCCUGGACCGACACUGACGCUGAGGCGCGAAAGCUAGGGGAGCAAACGGG